rnacentral:rRNA from 1 species
GAAAGUAAAAAAGGGCGCAUGGCGGAUGCCUUGGCUCUCGGAGGCGAUGAAGGACGUGAUAAGCUGCGAUAAGCUUUGGGGAGGUGCAAAUGACCUUUGAUCCAGAGAUUUCCGAAUGGGACAACCCAAUAUCUUGAAGAGGUAUUAUCUUACUAUGUAAGAGGCUAACGCAGGGAACUGAAACAUCUUAGUACCUGCAGGAAAAGAAAAUAAACAAUGAUUCCCCCAGUAGUGGCGAGCGAACGGGGAACAGCCCAAACCAUCCAUGUUACGGCAUGGGUGGGGUUGUAGGACUACGCCGUUGCAUGAAGACAUCAGAGAAGAACUUUCUGGAAAGAAAGACCAUAGAGCAUGACAGUUGCGUAUUCGAAUGUUGUCGAAGCAUAGUAGUAUCCUGAGUAGCGCGGAGCACGAGGAAUUCUGCGUGAAUCUGCCGGGACCAUCCGGUAAGGCUAAAUACUCCCGAGAGACCGAUAGCGAACCAGUACCGUGAGGGAAAGGUGAAAAGCACUUCGAACAGAAGAGUGAAAUAGUUCCUGAAACCGUGCGCCUACAAGCGGUCGGAGCUCGUUAAUGAGUGACGGCGUGCCUUUUGCAUAAUGAACCUACGAGUUGCCUUUGCCGGCAAGGUUAAGUGUGACGACACACGUAUCCGAAGCGAAAGCGAGUCUGAACAGGGCGUAUAGUCGGCAGUGGCAGACGCGAAACCAAGUGAUCUACCCUUGGCCAGGUUGAAGGCUGGGUAACACCAGCUGGAGGACCGCACCAAUAAGCGUUGAAAAGCUUCUGGAUGAGCUGAGGGUAGGGGUGAAAGGCUAAUCAAACUUGGAGAUAGCUCGUACUCCCCGAAAUGCAUUUAGGUGCAGCCUUGCGGGUUACUGAUGUGAGGUAGAGCGACUGAUAAGAUGCGAGGGCUUCACCGCCUAUCAAGUCUUGACAAACUCCGAAUGCGCAUCAGUUCUACCGCAGGAGUGAGGGCAUGGGUGCUAAGGUCCGUGCCCGAGAGGAGAAGAAUCCGGACCACCUGCUAAGGUCCCGAAAUGACAGCUAAGUUAAACUAACGAAGUCUGACUGCUAAGACAGCUAGGAUGUUGGCUUGGAAGCAGCCAUUCAUUUAAAGAGUGCGUAACAGCUCACUAGUCGAGGAGUCGGGCGUGGAUAAUAAUCGGGUAUCAAGUUGUCUACCGAAGCAGUGGGAUCAUUAAUAUGAUCGGUAGGGGAGCAUUCCAGUCAGCGUCGAAGGCGUACCGUGAGGUAUUCUGGAGCGUCUGGAAAAGCAAAUGUAGGUAUAAGUAACGAUAAAGGGGGCGGGAAACCCCCUCGCCGAAAGACUAAGGUUUCCUGAUCAACGCUAAUCGGAUCAGGGUCAGUCGGGUCCUAAGGCUCAGCCGAACGGCGAUGCCGAUGGCAGAAACGGUUAAUAUUCCGUUACUACCUUCAGGAGUGACGUGGAGACGCAGUAGUGACAGUGCCGCCAUCUGACGGAAUAGAUGGUUGAAGGGUGUAGGAGUCGAUCAUGGCAGGCAAAUCCACCAUGAGAUCCGAACCUGACAGUAUGCCGCGUCCUUCGGGACAAGGCAAUAGUGCGCGUAAGCAUGCUGCCGAGAAAAUCCGCUAAACUUAAUCCUGCAGGUACCCGUACCGCAAACGGACACACGUAGUCGGGAUGAAUAUUCUAAGGCGCUUGAGUGAUUCACGGUUAAGGAACUAGGCAAACUGACCCUGUAACUUCGGGAUAAAGGGUCCCUACCCUUUUAUGGGAGGGCGCAGAGAAUCGGUCCAGGCAACUGUUUAACAAAAACACAGGGCUGUGCCAAAUCGAAAGAUCCAGUAUACAGCCUGACACCUGCCCGGUGCUGGAAGGUUAAGAGGAGAUGUCAUCGAUAAGAGAAGCGUUGAAUUGAAGCCCCAGUAAACGGCGGCCGUAACUAUAACGGUCCUAAGGUAGCGAAAUUCCUUGUCGGGU